AGCACAAGUACAAAGAUAAACAAAAUAGCAUUUGUAUUCCAUCAGUAAGUUUGAAUACAGGGUUCUUACAGAUAAUAAUGGUACACUAGUUUCCUUUAACAGAUAAGCAAAUAACAGGAACAAGCUAGCUAGGUCGUCUGCAAUCCACGACUAAUCUUCCUCCUAAAAGCCUGUCUGAUGAUCCGGUAAGAAUACAUGUAAGUUUGAAAGUCAACACAAAGGUUGGUGAGUGUCACAGGUUUUCUGCUAACGCAGUAAUACUUUUAGUAAGUCUAAAAAGUAUUAUCUUUGUAUGUAUAACAAUAGUUAAACAGUGUUUGCAAUGAGUCCUUAAAAGCCAAAAUGUAUAGUUUGUAUAAGUAAACCCAUACGUAAAACUGUGUUUGUAAUGAAUCUUUGAAGCCAAAACGUUAUGUUCCAUAAGUAAUUCCAUACUUAAAAUUGUGUUUGAAAGCAACCAAAUCAAUGGUUGUACGGGUAACGAAGAAAGUUUUCUGCCAAGGUUGUACUUCAUAACCGUAGAUACGGAUAUACGGAUACAGUUAUCUGCCAAGUUUGAACUUAACAACCGCAGAUACGAAUAAACAACAAAUACAUUUGAUAAGCAUACACAUAAAGUGUACGAUACUAGUUUAAACAGUUGACAAAACUUAGUAUAGUGUACACAAGCACAUGUAUGAGCCUAAGAUACAAGUUCUAUAACUUGUAUAAACGUAUAAACCAAUAUAUUUUUGUCAUAAACAGACAUACAUAUAUACGGAUAAAGUUAUCUGCCAAGGUUGAACUUAACAGCCGCAGAUACGGAUAAACAUGUAAUUGACAAGUAUAUUUGAUAAGCGUACACAUUGAAGAGUAGAAUACUUGUUUUAAACAACUGAUUAAACUUUGAGUACAAGCACAUAAAUGAGCCUUAGAUACGAGUUCUAUAACUCGUAAGAAUAUAUAAACUUAUAUAUUUUUGUGUAUCUAUGAGGUAUAAUGAAACUACCAAGUUGAUAACCGGCUAUAGUGUCAUAGCACAAUUUUAGUCGGAACGUAUAUGUUAUUUUUAUUAGUUGUAUUAUCUUAACAACAUAACAUAUGUAGCUAUUGAGGUUUAAAACGAUUUUGUUUACUUAACAUGUAAGCGUUUAAAUAAUUAUUUCUAAAACCGAUAAAGUAUUUACACAAAACAAUGAUAUUUUUUUGUUUGUGAAUUUCGUAUGAUAAAUAUUACUUAGUACACGUACUAUCAUGUACAUACGAGGGCCAAACAUGAAACACCGAGGACAGUACCAUUUUGGCAUUAUAGCACUUCUGAAAUGCAGCAACCCAUUCGGCCCUUCAAACCAGAUUCCCCGUACCGUAAGUAGUAGAGUAAUAAAUAAUAUUUUUGUGUGAUUUAUAUUGCAUAAAAAAACGGUGGUGUUGUUUGUUUAAACAAAGUAUUUAGAAAAUAGAUAUAUACUAGAUAUACAAGUACUACAUGUAUUCUCAGCCGAAAAUAUGUAAAAAUGGGGCCGUAACACUCACCUUAAACUGCCAUUAAAGAUUGGUUUUCGAGAACGGAUGCGAGCAAACCGAGAUGUAUUGUCGUGAACACAGAACUCCAAGAUAAAUUUAAUUAAACUAAAACAAAUUAGUAAUUUCCAAAAAUGAGUCAAAAUAAAUUAUUUAAAUUCUAAGUUUGAUUUUGGAUUUAUUUUGUAAAGGUUUUUCCAUAUAGGGGUGGUUUUUGAACAAUUUUAUUAAAGUUAGAAGGUUUUGGACUUGAUAUGAAAAGAAAAUCCAAGAGAGGGUGAUAAGUAAUUAAUUUAAAUGAGAGUUUGAUGGGGGGCUGCUUUGUUAAAACUCUUAUAAUUUAAAGGAUUGUUUUAAUUAUUCUAACUAUGGGAAGGGACUAAAAGCGUUUAAAAAAAAUAAAGUUUGUACAGUAAGUUGCACGUUUACGUACACAUGAGGGUAUACCUCCUGUGUUCUUCAUUUACGAUCGCAAGAAAGAAGAAAAUGCGUAGAUGAUCCUGUAACUAUCGGUAAUGCAUGAGGAUGUAUGAACCAAGCAAGAAGAUGGGAGGACGGAUGACUUAGAGAUGAAGAAUAGCAGCACAACACAGGUGGUGACUGGUGGUUCACUGCAAUGACAGUGGAGGUGCUCGGUGGUGAUAACAGGUAGCCGGCAGCAUCCUGCUGCCGGUUUUCCUUUUUUUUCCAGUAAAUUUAAAGGCUGGGGGAGGUGGAGGAAGGCUGGAGAAGAGUUUCUUUGAGUUUACAGCAGGUAAUGGUGGGGUUUUGAAGACGGAAUAAGGGUGCUGCAUUGGUAUACCGUGAGAUAGAGAUAGAGAGUGUUUUAGAGAGAGAUAUGGAGAUCUUAGAGAUGGAGAAGAAAGCUGGAGGUUGAGGUGUGAUUUUUGGAGGUGGUCUAAGCUUCCUUUUAUACCCAAGAAUGCCCACACACAACACAAGUAAGCCAUACUUCCAACUCAUCAUGUACUCUCUUCGUGAAACUUGCACACAAAGAAGGAGAGGGGGAGAAGAUAUAGUCACGUGGGAUGAUACAUGGGAGGGAAAUAUCAGAUUUUUGGGCUCUUAAGUCAUAUGUGGGCCCCACAUGGGUUAUUCUCUCUUUUAAUUGCUCAAAACACUGAAAACCGGGUGCCUCGGGAUCCGUGCAUUGAGAAUAAUUUUCGAGAGUACCGUUAGAUAGAGUUUAAUUCAAGGAUUUCGGAGCAUCAAACGGAUUAAUUUUGGAGUUACGCAUUUCCAGGAAAUUGCGUUUGAAGUUUUAUGUCUAAACGGCUCGUGGUGUCCGUUUUCACGACUUUUGCAAAUAUUUUUGUUAAAAAUGUUUCGAGCAUGAAAAUAAAUAAUACACCAUAACCUGAGUCCAAAAAGGUUAACGGAAAUCCCGUCAGCAAAACGUAAGUACCUCAACGGAUCAAUUCGGUUUUAUUUGAUUAAAGAAAAAAAACAGUGUUUUACCGCUUGUUUUCUUAAAACUGUCGUAUCUUUUGCAUACAAACUCUGUUUUGGACGUUCUUUGUAUUUUUGGAAACAGGUAAACACGUACUGUAAUAUUUUCAUGUUUCUUUUGCUCAAAACUGCUUAAUAUAAAAUUUCAGUUUUUCUAAUGCAUUAAUUAGCGUUUUCGUUUAAGCAGUUUGAUUCGGUUGACGGUUUACCCAUUUGGAAGUAAGGUAUCAUCUAAUAUCAUGUAAUAAUUGAAAUAUAAUUAUUUAUUUUUCAUUAGAUGCACUAAAACUCAGUAAUUCGGAUACACAAGAGAUUCACGGAUAGAUUGUCGGUUAUAAUAAUAGCCCUAAAUUUCAGGUUGUCACAUUACCUCCCCGUUAAAGGAAAUUUCGUCCUGAAAUUGAGUUGGUAUUGGUAGUACAAGGGCUCUGAUAAAUAGUAAUAUGGUUUCGUGGUAUGAUCCAUGCCUGGUCCUUCUAUAUCACCUUGUGCAUACAAGUCGUAUAUAAUCAAGAUUGAGUAGACAAUCAAAUAAGUGAUUCUACUCUAAGCCCACAACCAAACAAGGAACAGGAAGUAAAGCGGAAUCACAAAUCCUAAGUCGGUAGAAUCUUAAUUAUAUAUAACCCUAACGUAUACACUUAGCAAUCAUAUAUUACCAGCAAGAGUCCUUAGUUUCUACAUGAAUGAUGUGAUUAACUCGGGUGAGAAAGCAACUGGGGAGUACAUUUGGAAUAUCGAUAAAUAGUAAUGUACUUACGUGGUGCAUGAUCCCUGGCUGGUCCUUCUACAUUUCCUUCGUGUAUACAAGUUGUAUAUAAUCAAGAUCGAAGAGACUGUCGAAUAAGUGAUUCUACCCUAAGCCCACAACCAAACAAGGAACAGGAAGUAAAGCGGAAUCACGAAUACUAAGUCUGUAGAAUCUUAAUUAUAUACAACCCUAACGUAUACAUUUAGCAAUCGUAUAUUACUAGCAAGGGUCCUUAGUUUCUAUGUGAAUGGCAUGACUAACUAGGGUGAUAAGGUAACUAGCAAGUACUUUUUGUUAUAGCUACUGUGUAGGUUUCAUUAAGUUUCCGAAAUUUUAUAUUAUGUCACAUGUUGAAACCUAUGGUCGAUAAAGAUUUAAUUGGCACUAGUAUUAGUAAAUACCUAGGUCUAAACAUUGUUGUUAUGAAACGUACCAAUAACCACAGGUGGUUCUGGAAGAGCCUCUUCUGCUGUGAUCAUAAAUACCCUUCCAUUGCCACCUUGGUUCUUUAGUUGUGGGAAGUCCUUCCUAAAAUUCCCUGGUUGAUUGCACUCGUAACAGUUACGACUUCCUUCUGCCGUAGUGGUUGGGGUUCUUCUAUAGUACCUCGAGAUGUGACCUCUCAUGUUACACUUGUUGCAGAUCACCUCCCUGCAAUUUCCGACAUGGUGGAAAUUGCACUUUGUACAAUGAGGUAAAGUCCCAGAGUAGGACUUAGUUGGUGUGGGAGUAUUGGUAACUGUGGCGUAGACAGCUAACAGUUCUGGUUCAAACUUGUGAUGCAUGGAGUCCUCCUUUGUUUCCCCAUGAAACUAUCUUUUGGUGCCUCCAGUGUGCUUCUUCUCUGCUGGUGGGGUUAUGGUACCCUGCCGGACACACUGUUUAGUCAACUGAUAGGCUAAUUGCUUAUCACUAUCGAAAGUGGAGGGUUUGGAUGCCGUCACCAGACCUUGAACAGGUGAAGCUAGUCCCCAGAUGUACAUAGUCCCCAGAUGUACCUUUCGAUCUUUCCUGUCUUUCGGGGUCACAAUUCCUUGGCAAAGGGUUGCAAGGUCAUUGAAUCGAGAGGUGUAGGCAGCUACUUCUGAACAUUUCAUGACAAGGUUACAAAGCUCUUGCUCUAGAUCCUGUAUCUCCUGUCGGGGACAAUACUCCUUGGUCAUUAGUUGCUUCAGGGAUUCCCAACCCAUGGCAAAAGCUUCAGCGAUUCCCAUGGACUUCGCAUGGUUAUUCCACCAAGGCAAGGCGGAGUCCAUCAACGUGCAGGUAGCGUAUUUAACCCUACAGUCAUCAGGGCAAGCACUCAUGUGGAAGACAGCCUUAGUCUUUUCUAUCCAACGGGAUAGCCCAACAGCUCCUUCAGUGUCGUACAAGCCUCGAGGUUUGCAGCUCAUGAAAUCCUUAUAGGAGCAGUGUCUGGUGUUGCUUAGGUGAGUUGUGAGAUUGCCACUUCCACUAUUUCCAGUGUUUCCGUUUCGGGCUACCUCGUAUGCUGCCAAAGUCGUAGCAAUUCCUUGUGUGAGCAUGUUCUGCAUCAUGGUGGAAUUCAUUUGGAAUGUUUGGUUUACAUUUAUUACUUCUGGGUCUCCUCCCUGGUUUGGAGUUUCCACUGAUGUUUGAGUUACUAGUGGGGUUCUCCUCGGGUUGCCUCGGGGAGUUGGCGGUAGACGAACUCCUGGUUGCUUUCGUGGGGCCAUCUCCUAAUAUGUUUAAAACGGACAUGUUAAGUUGUGUUAAUACUAUAAAGUCCUAACAAGUAUGCAUGGGAAGCAUUUUAUGAUAUAGUUUGCUUGUGAAAUCCUACAAAUUAUAAGAAUAAAGGAUUGACUUAGAAAUCCUUUAGAUUUCCUAAUGAUACGGAGAAGGUGAUUGGUUUAGAAAUCCUCUAGAUUUCUAAAUGAUAGACAAGGGACCUUAAUUGCUAAUGAAUUGUAAGUGUUUUAAAAUGUAUGUAUAGAUUCUAAGGUACUAGGUUGCUGUAGCAAAUAUGGAGAACAUCCUUCAAUCUCUAAAACCUUCAACCGUUAUAGUCUGUCAGACUCCUUGCUCAGGGUUGAUAGUGUACCGGCCUAACCAUAAACAACAUAGGUGCGCAUGCCAGAUUUAUUUAUGGUAUGACUUAUGUACGGUACUAACCCUAAUUGAGGCGUCUGACGUAAAGGGUUGAGUUGGUAGUUUUAGUUGAAGGGAUAGUAAAAUUUUAUUAAGUGUUCUCAUCGCGGGUCAGAUUAUAAAUAAACUCUUAAAUAUUUUGGUCGGUGGGGUUUAUAGUAUUAUUAAUUUUUGUUUGUUCUUCUCGACUACCGAGCACAGACGAUUACCGGACAUGAAACGACAUAAGUAGCUGAGAAGUAGUGUUAUUAAUAAUAAUACUUUUAUUAGAAGCUAGUAUGCUAUAGUUGUAUUCCUGUUUCAAGGAUACGAGUUCUCUAUAGCCAAUUUGGCUCUGAUACCAUUUUGUCACACCCUCGGCCAAGGCGGAACACGCCGGAAGCGGGACUAAGUUCAUGGAUCACAGAUAAAAUGAAUAUAUAGCAUAAGUACAAUGAUAAACAAAAUAGCAUUUGUAUUCCAUCAGUAAUUUUGAAUAUAGGGUUCUUACAGAUAAUAAUGGUUCAGUAGUUGCCUUUAACAAAUAAGAAAAUAACAGGAACAAGCUAGCUAGGUCGUCUGCAAUCCACGACUAAUCUUCUUCCUAAAAGCCUGUCUGAUGAUCCGCUAUGAAUACAUGUAAGUUUGAAAGUCAACACAAAGGUUGGUGAGUGUCACAGGUUUUCUGCUAACGCAGUAAUACAUUUAGUAAGUCUAAAAAGUAUUAUCUUUGUAUGUAUAACAAUAGUUAAACAAUGUUUGCAAUGAGUCCUUAAAAGCCAAAAUGUAUAGUUUGUAGAAGUAAACCCAUACGUAAAACUGUGUUUGUAAUGAAUCUUUGAAGCCAAAACGUUAUGUUCCAUAAGUAAUUCCAUACUUAAAAUUGUGUUUGAAAGCAACCAAAUCCAUGGUUGUAUGGGUAACGAAUAAAGUUUUAUGCCAAGGUUGUACUUCAUAACCGCAGAUACGGAUAAAUAAAUAUACGGAUAUACAGAUAUAGUUAUCUGCCAAGGUUGAACUUAACAACCGUAGAUACGGAUAAACAACAAGUAUAUUUGAUAAGCAUACACAUAAAGUGUACGAUACUAGUUUAAACAGUUGAAAAAACUUAGUAUAGUGUACAGAAGCACAUGUAUGAGCCUAAGAUACAAGUUCUAUAACUUGUAUAAACGUAUAAACCAAUAUAUUUUUGUCAUAAACAGACAUACGGAUAUACGGAUAAAGCUAUCUGCCAAGGUUGAUAUUAACAACCGCAGAUACGGAUAAACAGGUAAUUGACAAGUAUAUUUGAUAAGCGUACACAUUGAUGAGUACAAUACUUGUUUUAAACAACUUAUUCAACUUUGAGUACAAGCACAUAAAUGAGCCUAAGAUACGAGUUCUAUAACUCGUAAGAAUAUAUAAACUUAUAUAUUUUUGUGUAUGUAUGAGGUAUAAUGAAACUACCAAGUUGAUAACCGGCUAUAGUGUCAUAGCACAAUUUUAGUCGGAACGUAUAUGUUAUUUUUAUUAGUUGUAUUAUCUUAACAACAUAACAUAUGUAGCUAUUGAGGUUUAAAACGAUUUUGUUUACUUAACAUGUAAGCGUUUAAAUAAUUAUUUCUAAAACCGAUAAAGUAUUUACACAAAACAAUGAUAUUUUUUUGUUUGUGAAUUUCGUAUGAUAAAUAUUACUUAGUACACGUACUAUCAUGUACAUACGAGGGCCAAACAUGAAACACCGAGGACAGUACCAUUUUGGCAUUAUAGCACUUCUGAAAUGCAGCAACCCAUUCGGCCCUUCAAACCAGAUUCCCCGUACCGUAAGUAGUAGAGUAAUAAAUAAUAUUUUUGUGUGAUUUAUAUUGCAUAAAAAAACGGUGGUGUUGUUUGUUUAAACAAAGUAUUUAGAAAAUAGAUAUAUACUAGAUAUACAAGUACUACAUGUAUUCUCAGCCGAAAAUAUGUAAAAAUGGGGCCGUAACACUCACCUUAAACUGCCAUUAAAGAUUGGUUUUCGAGAACGGAUGCGAGCAAACCGAGAUGUAUUGUCGUGAACACGGAACUCCAAGAUAAUUUUAGUUUCCUAGAAAAUUUCAAUAUAAAUUAAUAUUUGGAAAGUUAUUUGGUAUUUUAUCUAAAAUAUAAGACCCAUUUAUUAAUUUAAUUAAACUAAAACAAAUUAGUAAUUUCCAAAAUGAGUCAAAAUAAAUUAUUUAAAUUCUAUGUUUGAUUUUGGAUUUAUUUUGUAAAGGUUUUUCCAUAUAGGGGUGGUUUUUGAACAAUUUUAUUAAAGUUAGAAGGUUUUGGACUUGAUAUGUAAAGAAAAUCCAAGAGAGGGUGAUAAGUAAUUAAUUUAAAUGAGAGUUUGAUGGGGGGCUGCUUUGUUAAAACUCUUAUAAUUUAAAGGAUUUUUUUAAUUAUUCUAACUAUGGGAAGGGACUAAACGCGUUUAAAAUAAUAAAGUUUGUACAGUAACUUGCACGUUUACGUACACAUGAGGGCAUACCUCCUGUGUUCUUCAUUUACGAUCGCAAGAAAGAAAAAAAUGCGUAGAUGAUCCUGUAACUAUCGGUAAUGCAUGAGGAUGUAUGAACCAAGCAAGAAGAUGGGAGGAUGGAUGACUUACAGAUGAAGAAUAGCAGCACAACACAUGUGGUGACUGGUGGUUCACUGCAAUGGCAGUGUAGGUGCUCGGUGGUGAUAACAGGUAGCCGACAGCAUCCUGCUGCCGGUUUUCCUUUUUUUUCCGGUAAAUUCAAAGGCUGGGGGAGGUGGAGGAAGGUUAGAGAAGAGUUUCUUCGAGUUUACAGCAGGUAAUGGUGAGGUUUUGAAGAUGGAAUAAGGGUGGUGCAGCGGUAUACCGUGAGAUAGAGAUAGAGAGUGUUUUAGAGAGAGAUAUGGAGAUCUUAGAGAUGGAGAAGAAAGCCGG
rnacentral:lncRNA from 1 species